rnacentral:rRNA from 1 species
GCUGAUCAGCCAUGCCGCGUGCAGGAAGAAUGCCCUAUGGGUAGUAAACUGCUUUUAUACGGGAAGAAAAAGAGCUACGUGUAGCUUACUGACGGUACCGUAAGAAUAAGGACCGGCUAACUCCGUGCCAGCAGCCGCGGUAAUACGGAGGGUCCGAGCGUUAUCCGGAAUUAUUGGGUUUAAAGGGUCCGUAGGCGGGCCGUUAAGUCAGGGGUGAAAGUCUGCGGCUCAACCGUAGAAAUGCCUUUGAUACUGGCGGUCUUGAGUUAUGGUGAAGUUGCCGGAAUAUGUAGUGUAGCGGUGAAAUGCAUAGAUAUUACAUAGAACACCGAUUCGAAGGCAGA